rnacentral:tRNA from 1 species
UAGGGGAUAGUAUAAUUGGAAGUACUAAAAAUUUUGAGUUUUUAGGUAUGGGUUCGAGUCCUUUUCCUCUAG